rnacentral:rRNA from 1 species
AUACGGAGGAUCCGAGCGUUAUCCGGAUUUAUUGGGUUUAAAGGGAGCGUAGGCGGACUAUUAAGUCAGUUGUGAAAGUUUGCGGCUCAACCGUAAAAUUGCAGUUGAUACUGGUCGUCUUGAGUGCAGUAGAGGUAGGCGGAAUUCGUGGUGUAGCGGUGAAAUGCAUAGAUAUCACGAAGAACUCCGAUUGCGAAGGCAGCUUACUGGACUGUAACUGUCGCUGAUGCUCGAAAGGGUGGGUAUCAAACAGGAUUAGAUGCCCUGGUAGUCCACACAGUAAACGAUGAAUACUCGCUGUUUGCGAUAUACGGCAAGCGGCCAAGCGAAAGCAUUAAGUAUUCCACCUGGGGAGUACGCCGGCAACGGUGAAACUCAAAUGAAUUGACGGGG